CUUUGCUUUUCUCAAAAUUGUAUUUCCAGUUGAAUGAGUCAAAAAGAAAAUAUCCUUUCCUUUUCCCAUGAUUUUGAGAGAUCUGUUUGCUAAGUCUUCAUGCUUAGUAGGAGAGACAAGGAGUAUUUAUUUUCAGUAUGUGUUGGUAAUUUAUGAGGUUGCUAUAAAUGCAGAGUUUAUGGAAGCAAAAUUGGGCCAUGAAAUAAAAAGGAUUUCAUUCGAAUAUCCAGUCUUAUUAAUUCUUUUUAAUUCUUCACAGAGAAAGAGAUGAGUGAGGAUGCACACAAGAUUUACUAAAUUUUAUGAGGGAGAAAAUCCAGAAAAGCAGCAAAUGCAGGGUUUGAUCCAAGACCAGAGAAAUGAUGCGAGUACCCAAGCGAAGCCCAGGAAGGAUUGUUGUCCACUAUUAAUAGCCUGGUGGAUCAAGGAGUGCCAAUGCAAUGACCCACUGUGUGUAAUUCCCCUGUGUGGCUGGUAUUAAAGGGAGAUAAAAAGAUGCAUCUGACUGUGGAUUUCAGAGCAUUAAAUGCUGUAACUCCGCAAACAUCACCUCUUCUUGUUGAAAUGCCAGAAAUUAUGGCUGUAAUAGUACAAGGAGAUAAGUGGUUUUCAGUCAUAGAUCUAGCAAAUGCAUUCUUCUUCAGCCCUCUGGAAGAGAAGUGUUGGUAAAUGCUUGUUUUUACAUUUUAGGAGAAACAAAAUAGUUCCACAUGAGUUCUUCAAGUAUUCACAAGGUCCUGUGAUCUUUCAUCUGUGCAUCAUUCAAAUGUGGGAGAAAUUAGCCUGCACAUCCAGGAAACAUGUCUCAUCAUAUAUGGAUCACGGCCAAAUCUGGGGGAUUCUGAGAAACAACUGUGUCAGCAAACAGGAAGUUUUGGCUGCAAUCCAACAGGAAGGAUUGAAAGUCAAUACACAAGAAGUUCACUUUCAACAUCCUCAAAGGCAUCUAAUUGUUCAGGACAUACUGAGUAUCUGCACUUACAGAAAUCAAGCCUCAAGUGGAACUCCCCUGAAAGCAAGGCACCAGGAAGCCAAGAUUAGUUUUCAGAAAUUACCAUCACAGAUGGCUUCCUGCAAUACAAAGAAGGCUCCUGGCAAGGCGGUUUGCUGGAUAACAUUCGAAUUGGAUGUGAUGGAAUUUCAAGGUGAGAUCAGUAUCUGGAACCAUGAUGCAAUUUAUGCUGUUAUCAUUUCAUGA
ensembl:lncRNA